UCGAUCGAAAAUCAUGUGACAGUAACUCGAGCUAUGGCCCGAUUAUAUAGACGAAAAAAACAAAGGCCCAUUAAGAGGCCCAUAGAAAUUACCGCGGGUCUUUUGAAAGAGAGAAAUCACAAAUCAUAUUGAAAGCCUGGUUUCCGAUCAUGAAGUUUAAUCUUCUGAGACCCGUGAUUACCACGCAGGUAACUCAGCAAGUCAGAUCGGUCGUUUCUAGCCGUAAUUUCUCUUCGUACGGUAGAAUCGAUGUAAUAGCAGAUUCGGAGUUAGCCGUACGAAUAGGAAGAAGAAGAAGAAGAAGAAGAUCUGUCGCCGCGACUGAUAAAUUCUGCUUGUUUAGGACAUCGUUUGCCCAAGGAUAUUGUGUUUUCAUGUUUUGGGGUAUAAUUGUUGUCAGAUUUUCCUUGUACAUCGUGAUUGCUUUUGUUUCAUAUCUCAGGAAUUGUUUAGAUGUUAGAAUAUCGGAGAACAAUUGAAAGGGAUUUGCAUGAA